UAGGGAAUCUUCGGCAAUGGACGAAAGUCUGACCGAGCAACGCCGCGUGAGUGAAGAAGGUUUUCGGAUCGUAAAACUCUGUUGUUAGAGAAGAACAAGGACGUUAGUAACUGAACGUCCCCUGACGGUAUCUAACCAGAAAGCCACGGCUAACUACGUGCCAGCAGCCGCGGUAAUACGUAGGUGGCAAGCGUUGUCCGGAUUUAUUGGGCGUAAAGCGAGCGCAGGCGGUUUCUUAAGUCUGAUGUGAAAGCCCCCGGCUCAACCGGGGAGGGUCAUUGGAAACUGGGAGACUUGAGUGCAGAAGAGGGGGGUGGAAUUCCAUGUGUAGCGGUGAAAUGCGUAGAUAUAUGGAGGAACACCAGUGGCGAGGGCGGCUCUCUGGUCUGUAACUGACGCUGAGGCUAGAAAGCGUGGGGAGCAAACAGG
rnacentral:rRNA from 1 species